UUUAUGGAGAGUUUGAUCUUGGCUCAGGACGAACGCUGGCGGCGUGCCUAAUACAUGCAAGUCGAGCGCGGGAAGCAAGCAAUCGCCCUUCGGGGCGUGAGCUUGUGGAACGAGCGGCGGACGGGUGAGUAACACGUGGGCAACCUGCCUGUAAGACUGGGAUAACUCCGGGAAACCGGGGCUAAUACCGGAUAAUACUUUCCUUUGCAUAGGGGAAAGAUGAAAGAUGGCUUCUGCUAUCACUUACAGAUGGGCCCGCGGCGCAUUAGCUAGUUGGUGGGGUAAUGGCCCACCAAGGCAACGAUGCGUAGCCGACCUGAGAGGGUGAUCGGCCACACUG
rnacentral:rRNA from 1 species